CAUGACAUAAAUACAAAAGAAAUAAAAGCAAUGAUAGAUAAGGAGAGUGGUUAGCCCCUUACUGAAAGUGUUGGUGAGUAAAACAGCUUAUGCUGUAACUCACUACUUGUGCUUAUAACAGUGGGGUGGCAGGUAGAUUGUAGUCUGCUCUCCAGACUCAGUUGGAUUCACAAGACAAAUAUGUUGCUUGGGUCUCUAGAAUUCCGCUCCGAGUUCCGUGUGUAACAAGCUCCUCCCCCUUUUGUGAC